rnacentral:tRNA from 1 species
GAUUAGAAAGCGAUUAUUUGCGCUUAGUUUCGGCCUAAGUUUAGGUUUUUUUAACCUCUAAUUA